UUUUCGGAGAGUUUGAUCCUGGCUCAGGACGAACGCUGGCGGCGUGCCUAAUACAUGCAAGUCGAGCGGACAGAAGGGAGCUUGCUCCCGGAUGUUAGCGGCGGACGGGUGAGUAACACGUGGGUAACCUGCCUGUAAGACUGGGAUAACUCCGGGAAACCGGAGCUAAUACCGGAUAGUUCCUUGAACCGCAUGGUUCAAGGAUGAAAGACGGUUUCGGCUGUCACUUACAGAUGGACCCGCGGCGCAUUAGCUAGUUGGUGGGGUAAUGGCUCACCAAGGCGACGAUGCGUAGCCGACCUGAGAGGGUGAUCGGCCACACUGGGACUGAGACACGGCCCAGACUCCUACGGGAGGCAGCAGUAGGGAAUCUUCCGCAAUGGACGAAAGUCUGACGGAGCAACGCCGCGUGAGUGAUGAAGGUUUUCGGAUCGUAAAGCUCUGUUGUUAGGGAAGAACAAGUGCGAGAGUAACUGCUCGCACCUUGACGGUACCUAACCAGAAAGCCACGGCUAACUACGUGCCAGCAGCCGCGGUAAUACGUAGGUGGCAAGCGUUGUCCGGAAUUAUUGGGCGUAAAGGGCUCGCAGGCGGUUUCUUAAGUCUGAUGUGAAAGCCCCCGGCUCAACCGGGGAGGGUCAUUGGAAACUGGGAAACUUGAGUGCAGAAGAGGAGAGUGGAAUUCCACGUGUAGCGGUGAAAUGCGUAGAGAUGUGGAGGAACACCAGUGGCGAAGGCGACUCUCUGGUCUGUAACUGACGCUGAGGAGCGAAAGCGUGGGGAGCGAACAGGAUUAGAUACCCUGGUAGUCCACGCCGUAAACGAUGAGUGCUAAGUGUUAGGGGGUUUCCGCCCCUUAGUGCUGCAGCUAACGCAUUAAGCACUCCGCCUGGGGAGUACGGUCGCAAGACUGAAACUCAAAGGAAUUGACGGGGGCCCGCACAAGCGGUGGAGCAUGUGGUUUAAUUCGAAGCAACGCGAAGAACCUUACCAGGUCUUGACAUCCUCUGACAACCCUAGAGAUAGGGCUUUCCCUUCGGGGACAGAGUGACAGGUGGUGCAUGGUUGUCGUCAGCUCGUGUCGUGAGAUGUUGGGUUAAGUCCCGCAACGAGCGCAACCCUUGAUCUUAGUUGCCAGCAUU
rnacentral:rRNA from 1 species